UGGGGAAUAUUGCACAAUGGGGGGAACCCUGAUGCAGCGACGCCGCGUGGGUGAAGGAGUAUUUCGGUAUGUAAAGCCCUAUCAGCAGGGAAGAACAAUGACGGUACCUGACUAAGAAGCACCGGCUAAAUACGUGCCAGCAGCCGCGGUAAUACGUAUGGUGCAAGCGUUAUCCGGAUUUACUGGGUGUAAAGGGAGCGCAGGCGGCGCGUUAAGCCUGGUGUGAAAGCCCGCGGCCCAACCGCGGGACUGCAUUGGGAACUGGCGCGCUGGAGUGCCGGAGGGGUAGGCGGAAUUCCUAGUGUAGCGGUGAAAUGCGUAGAUAUUAGGAGGAACACCAGUGGCGAAGGCGGCCUACUGGACGGUGACUGACGCUGAGGCUCGAAAGCGUGGGGAGCAAACAGG
rnacentral:rRNA from 1 species